rnacentral:lncRNA from 1 species
GUGGGGGAGAGGGAGAAGAGCCAAGGCUUGUUCAGGACGAGUUCCUGCUGCGUCCUGCAUCUCAAAGAUCCCCCGGGCAGCCCUAAUGAAGCCGCCUGAGCUCAUCACGCCUCUGCCUCGCCUCUCCACCUGCACUUGUCUCGAUGGGGGAGGGAGAGCGCUUCCCAGGGCCGCCCGCCCUGUCACUCAGCCCCAUCACCCUCUGUUCCCAUGAUGCGUCCCUGAAUGAGCCUGUUAAUUGUGUCCCAGGGUCUCGAUGGGGCUAAAGUGGGAGCCGUGACAUCCUCAGAAAGACUGGGAGGUAUGAUUUAUCUUCGCUCGGGGAGGGGAGGGCCGCACCUGCCAUCCGGCACAGUGCAGGGGGCGCUGGCACUGCUAGUCAGGGCCCAGGAGGAUCUGCCUGGUCAGUGAGGGACUCCCAAUCUGAGCCCAUUAGCUCUUGGUGGCUUGGGGAGGGUGGAAGGGCCCCAAAGAGAGAGGUACCUUCCCCACAAAUUAACAUGUGAAGCUGUUAAUUCUCACUGCAACUGUCAUUAGUGAUCAUCUCCCCUUCUCGGCACCUGCUGUCAGGUCUGGAGCUUUUUCUGCACAUGCCGGUCAGGGUCUCCGGUGCCCUCCGCAUAGCACCGGGAUCCAUCGGACAGUUGCCACCCCUACGAUGCUUGGCAGAAGAGGAAGGAGAACUGGUGAGACUGCCCUGUCACCAGCGGGCAAUGCUCUGCGUCUGCUCCCCGUCUUUCCCGACUGGAAGCACUUUUUGGUACCUGAGGGGCUGGGUGGACAAAGGCUGUGCCUCCCCUGGAGCAGACUGUGGUCCUGAUCUUCAUUCCUCCUCCUCCCACACUGCAAGGAGAGACUCACCACUCUCCCCAUUUCACAGUCACCUCUCCUGGGGACACCAAGAAGAAGAGGAAUGGGAUCCAGUGAGAUGCUAUGACGUUGUGUCUCUCCAAAGUCAAGCAUGAAUCACCGUCUUGAACUUUCUGAUUUCUCCUGACCUCGUUUCAAGUUCUAGGCUCUAAAUAAAACGAUGUC